rnacentral:rRNA from 1 species
UGCAAGUCGAACGGAGCACCCUUGACUGAGGUUUCGGCCAAAUGAUAGGAAUGCUUAGUGGCGGACUGGUGAGUAACGCGUGAGGAACCUGCCUUUCAGAGGGGGACAACAGUUGGAAACGACUGCUAAUGCCGCAUGAUGCGUAACUGGGACAUCCCGGAUACGCCAAAGAUUUUAUCGCUGAAAGAUGGCCUCGCGUCUGAUUAGAUAGUUGGCGGGGUAACGGCCCACCAAGUCGACGAUCAGUAGCCGGACUGAGAGGUUGACCGGCCACAUUGGGACUGAGAUACGGCCCAGACUCCUACGGGAGGCAGCAGUGGGGAAUAUUGGGCAAUGGGCGCAAGCCUGACCCAGCAACGCCGCGUGAAGGAAGAAGGCUUUCGGGUUGUAAACUUCUUUUAAGUGGGAAGAGUAGAAGACGGUACCACUUGAAUAAGCCACGGCUAACUACGUGCCAGCAGCCGCGGUAAUACGUAGGUGGCAAGCGUUGUCCGGAUUUACUGGGUGUAAAGGGCGUGCAGCCGGGCAUGCAAGUCAGAUGUGAAAUCUCAGGGCUUAACCCUGAAACUGCAUUUGAAACUGUAUGUCUUGAGUGCCGGAGAGGUAAUCGGAAUUCCUUGUGUAGCGGUGAAAUGCGUAGAUAUAAGGAAGAACACCAGUGGCGAAGGCGGAUUACUGGACGGUAACUGACGGUGAGGCGCGAAAGCGUGGGGAGCGAACAGGAUU